CCUACGGGCGGCAGCAGUGGGGAAUAUUGGGCAAUGGGCGCAAGCCUGACCCAGCAACGCCGCGUGAAGGAAGAAGGCUUUCGGGUUGUAAACCUCUUUUCUCAGGGACGAAGCAAGUGACGGUACCUGAGGAAUAAGCCACGGCUAACUACGUGCCAGCAGCCGCGGUAAUACGUAGGUGGCAAGCGUUAUCCGGAUUUACUGGGUGUAAAGGGCGUGUAGGCGGGGAGGCAAGUCAGAUGUGAAAGCCACGGGCUCAACCUGUGGCCUGCAUUGGAAACUGUGUUUCUUGAGUACUGGAGAGGCAGACGGAAUUCCUAGUGUAGCGGUGAAAUGCGUAGAUAUUAGGAGGAACACCAGUGGCGAAGGCGGUUCGCUGGACUGCAACUGACGCUGAGGCGCGAAAGCGUGGGGAGCAAACAGGAUUAGAUACCCUAGUAGUC
rnacentral:rRNA from 1 species